rnacentral:rRNA from 1 species
GAUGAACGCUGGCGGCGUGCCUAAUACAUGCAAGUCGAGCGAACGGACGAGAAGCUUGCUUCUCUGAUGUUAGCGGCGGACGGGUGAGUAACACGUGGAUAACCUACCUAUAAGACUGGGAUAACUUCGGGAAACCGGAGCUAAUACCGGAUGAUAUUUUGAACCGCAUGGUUCAAAAGUGAAAGACGGUCUUGCUGUCACUUAUAGAUGGAUCCGCGCUGCAUUAGCUAGUUGGUAAGGUAACGGCUUACCAAGGCAACGAUGCAUAGCCGACCUGAGAGGGUGAUCGGCCACACUGUAACUGAGACACGGUCCAGACUCCUACGGGAGGCAGCAGUAGGGAAUCUUCCGCAAUGGGCGAACGCCUGACGGAGCAACGCCGGGUGAGUGAUGAAGGUCUUCGGAUCGUAAAACUCUGUUAUUAGGGAAGACCAUAUGUGUAAGUAACUGUGCACAUCUUGACGGUACCUAAUCAGAAAGCCACGGCUAACUACGUG